rnacentral:tRNA from 1 species
UUUAGGGAGCCUAAAUUUAAUAGGUUAACUCUUGAAAAGUGUUAAAGUGGGUUUUUACCCCUAAAU